GACGAAACGCUGGCGGCGUGGAUUAGGCAUGCAAGUCGAACGGUAGGAUACCUUCGGGUAUCUGAGAGUGGCGAACGGGUGAGUAACACGUAGGUGAUCUACCCUCAAGAUUGGGACAACCCAGGGAAACUUGGGCUAAUACCGGAUGAAAGCAGCAGUGAUGUUGUUUGAAAGGUGGCGUAAGCUGCCGUUUGGGGAUGAGCCUGCGCUCUAUUAGUUAGUUGGCGGGGUAAAGGCCCAUCAAGGCGAUGAUAGAUAGGCGGCCUUAACGGGUGGUCGCCCACACUGGGAUUGAGAUACGGCCCAGACUCCUACGGGAGGCAGCAGUCGAGAAUAGUCUACAAUGGCCGAAAGGCUGAUAGUGCGACGCCGCGUGAACGAAGAAGCCCUUCGGGUGUAAAGUUCUUUUAUUAUGUGAGCAGUGCUUUCUUAUGUGAACAGCAUGGGGAGAGAGAUAUUAGCAUAUGAAUAAGCAACGGCUAACUCCCGUGCCCAGCACG
rnacentral:rRNA from 1 species